AAAGUUAAUUAAAACAGUCGCUUUUAUUAAUUAAUAAAAGAGGAAAGUCCGGACUCCAUAGGGUAUGGUGCCAGAUAAUUACUGGGAAGUUUAAACUUACGAAUAGUGCAACAGAAAAAAUACCGCCUUUUAAAAAAAAGGGUAAGGGUGAAAAGGUGUGGUAAAAGCAUACCGGUAUAUUAGUAAUAAUAUAUGUCAAUGUAAACUCCACCAGGAGCAAGGCUAAAUAAGAUUCGUAUAACCCGUACUAUGAAUCUGGGUAAGCUGCUUGAAAUAAUAAGUGAUUAUUAUUCUAGAUAAAUGACUGUUUUAAACAGAAUCCGGCUUAAAAAUUAACUUUAUAU
rnacentral:RNase_P_RNA from 1 species